UCCGGGGGAAGCUCACUGCCGAGGCCACCCACGGGGUGCGCGUCACCCGCGCCCCGCCUCGGGGAAGGUCUGAGGGAAGGGCCGCCCGCGGCCCCAGCAGGGCCCCGCCCGCGACGGGCGGGUGAGCCACCAGCAAGGGGGGGCGCGGCGCGGGCCGGCCUGGGCAGGAGAAGCCGCGGCGGCUCCGCUCUCCGCGGAGCCCCCGGCGGAUGCUCGUGGCCCCGCGGCGCUUUGAGACAGACUCACGGCCGGCGCGCUGAGUCCAAUGGGUGAGGUGGGGCAGCGCCCCAUAACCCAAUUCAGACUACUCUCCCCCGGA
ensembl:ribozyme RNaseP_nuc Nuclear RNase P